UACGUAGGGUGCGAGCGUUGUCCGGAAUUAUUGGGCGUAAGGGGCUCGUAGGCGGUUUGUCGCGUCGGGAGUGAAAACCUCGGGCUUAACUCGGGGCUUGCUUUCGAUACGGGCAGACUGGAGGUAUGCAGGGGAGAACGGAAUUCCUGGUGUAGCGGUGAAAUGCGUAGAUAUCAGGAGGAACACCGGUGGCGAAGGCGGCUACCUGGACAGAAACUGACGCUGAGGCGCGAAAGCUAGGGGAGCAAACAGG
rnacentral:rRNA from 1 species